rnacentral:rRNA from 1 species
CCUACGGGAGGCAGCAGUAAGGAAUAUUGGACAAUGCCCGCAAGGGUGAUCCAGCCAUGCCGCGUGCAGGAAGACGGCCCUAUGGGUUGUAAACUGCUUUUGUACCGGAGGAGACCUCCCCUUGCGAGGGGAGCUGAUAGUAUGGUAAGAAUAAGCAUCGGCUAACUUCGUGCCAGCAGCCGCGGUAAU